rnacentral:lncRNA from 10 species
CUAACAUCUGGGCCUCGGACGUCUCAAAAGUGCUCUAUUGACUUUUUCUUUUAAACCAAUGUACCGAAUCCCACUCGGUUGGCAGGAGGCCACGGGCGGAUUUGGGGCGGCACAGAGCACAGCCGAGUGCCAGGGUGUACCCCGCCGCAGCAUUUUUCCAAGGCUCUGCCUGGCUGGCCCUGCUCGCAGUGGGAGCUGUGGUCCCCGCAGAACGGCGCGUCCUGGGCAGGCUGCGCGCGGGUGAUUCAUGCAUUCAUGCAUAUCUGUGGGAAGCUGGGAACCAAGCUGGUGAGCUCGGCUGCCAAGUAGGCCUUGCUGGCCCUGCUUUCCCCUGGGGCUGGGCAACCCCAGGCUCCUUCGUGACUCCUCAGAAUCUCGGACACCCCCUGAAUUCCACCCUGGUGGGCCAUUUGUGGUCUGUGCCCCAUCCAGGGCCUGAAAGAGGUGCACCAACCUCCUACAUGGAUUCCACAGAUCCUGAUUCAGACAGCGAGCACCCCGGACUAUAACGAUACCUGGGGGAAAUAGACAGAGUCUGCGCACCACCGAAUUCCAGCUGGUGGACUUCAGACCCGGGUUUGAAGCCUGGCUCUGCCACAUCCUGAUCAUGUGGACUUAGAUCACCUGAGUGAGUAAUCACAGAUGGCUGCUUGGAGGUGGCAAGAGAUGGACGGGGGGUUUCCAGUCUGUCAUCCCGGGUUCCAGCUUGUCCUGGUGGCUCCAGUUUGUCGUCACUCCCUCCCACUUCCCAUCCAUCCUUCCUUCUUGGUGGCUGCCCUGCUGACUUGAGGAUCCAGCGUCAAAUUCAAAGAAGCAGCCCCAUGUAGACUGGUGAACCAGCUCCCCAAGUUGCAUAAGCCAGUGAGGAGCUGAGGCCCUGAAUCGAAGAGCCCACACAUGACAGAAUCCUCCCAACAACCACAUGUGUGAACUUGGAAAUGGAGCCGACACCAGUUGAGCCUUCAGAUGAGAUCCUAGCCCUGGUUAAGACCUUGAUCGCAGCCUUGGAAGAGACACUGAAGGAGAGGACCCAGCUAAGCUGUGCCUGGAUUCCUGCCCCACAGAUACUGUGAGAUAGUUUUAACUGUUUGUUAUUCUAAGCUAUGAGGUUUGUGGAUGAUUUGUUAUGCCACAGUAACUAAUAUACCUGUCCACAGACCAUUUCAGCACUAAACACACGGGAAACUGUCAGGCUUUACAAAUGUAUUGACCUUUAAAAUGCCUACAUUUUGCAGCAGAGAGUAGUAGAUAAAUAGAAGUACUUCUCAGAAAGAUAAAAUGUCUAACCUAAACAGGUGAACAUUUGGGAUUACCUGACAAAGGUCAAGGAGAGUAACAAAUAGCUGACCCUUCCUCCCAGGUCCAGAGACUGGCCGGCUUUUGAUGUGAGGGGUGGAGCAUGCAUCCAGCUCUCUGAGGCUAUGGAGGGUGCCUGUCCACCUCUCCCCACCUACUCCACCUACUCCCACUUCCUGGACCACUCUCUGCAAAUCAGUGAGCCCCAUCUUCUAUUCUGCCUGGCCUGGAUUCACAACCUACCGAGCUGCUCUGAAAGGGAAAUCUGGGGAAUGACAUUUAUCAAUGUAAUUGACCAAGAGGAGCUGGCAUUUCCACGACUACCUCUGCUGCUCAGAAAGGGCAUCUAGGAGUCAGCUGGAAGCUCCUUCUCAUAUCAUAGCUCACUUAAUCCUCACAGACUCUUGUUUUGAUGGAAGCACUAAUAUCCCCAAUUUCCAGAUGGGGAAAUGGAGGCAAUUAGAGAGUAAGAACCCUGACCCAGGUCAUAAGCUAGUGAAGGGACAAUCUGACCCAGGCAAUGGCCCCAGAGUCUAUGCUUUUAACAGGGGCCCCAUAUCACUAUUCACCCACCUAGGAUUCCCCAUCUCCCCUCUAUGUUGAAUGGCCCCUCGGCUCUCCUAGAGGACCAUUGCUCCCCAGUUCUCAGCUCAAAUAGUGAUGGUGGGAAGGAUUGUCCCAUUGUUUUUCUGUGUGUGCACACUCACACACACACACUCACACACCCUCUUAUAGUCACGUGUGCACUUGCACACACUCACCUGCACAAGCGCUCUGAAGCUCCAGGUCAGAGCCUGUAACACGGGCCUGACGCAUCACCACGCUCCACAGCUCUGCCUGCGCCAAGGGUUCCCUGCCCGCACCCAAGCCAAGCUGGGCCAAAUCAACCCUAGGAGGUUUGAGAAAAGGGAUGCUCUUUUUCCAGGGCCUCACUGAGCUGUAGGAUGCAAGCCUGAAACUACUGGUGAUGAAAAGAAAAGCAGAAAGAGAAAGCGCGAUCCCUGAACACGUUCUUUAAGCCCCAAGAUUCAGCCAGGCACAAAGGUUCAUCAAGGUCUGUUUAGGUUCAUGAGUCAGGAUGGCCCCUGAAUCGCUGGAGUCAGUCUGAGGUUGGUUUCUGUCACUUGAGACCAAGAAAAACUGAGCAUUUCAGCAGAGAAAGGGGUAUCUGCAGGGCUGCUAAGAGAUUGCUGCUCCCAAGGCUUUAGACCUGCCCAAGGCAGCUCGCACCUGGGCACGUCAUGCCUGAGUUCUCUGCUGCGCUGCCAACCGGCAUCCACCUUCCAACCUCUCCUUCCGCCAGACACAAGGCCCAAGUCCAUGGGGUCCCUAUUCCUCUAUCCUAAAGUCACACCACACACACAUUGACUCUGAGCCUUGCCUUCCUAACACCCAACUGGAUUUGUCUUUCUUGUUUUCAACGAAAGCUAACAAGGUUUCCCAGGAGCUAAAUCGAGAAGGUAUAAGGGAGAAAGACUAGAUUAAAGAAAAACUCCAGCUGACUUCCAACCCACAACGUAAGGACCCAGGCAGUGAUAGAAUGUGAAAGCUGGGAAGAACUGAAUUUGAGUUCCUCAUUUUACACAUGAAGCAACCCGGGGCCAGAGAGGUGAAGUGACUUGCCCCAGGUGUACACCAAGUUACCUAUGCGUGGGUACCUCACACAACAAAAGUUUUUAAAAGCUAAAAUGUAUUGCAGGCAUAGUGUGUGCCAGUCACGGGCUCAAUGUUUUCGCGGUAUUAUCUAAUUAGAUCCACCCCCAGUCUUCUGUAAGUGGUUACCAUUAUUAGCUAAUUUUCAGAUGUUAAAACAGACUCAGAGAGGAUGUGUGACUUCCCCAGGCUCACACAGCCAGUAAGGAAGGAGCAAGGCGGGCCGUCAACCCAGGCAGCUAGAUUCUAGGGCUCUCCCUCUUCACACUUCUCCCCUGCUUUGGACAAGUUUCACAAAAUGUUACCUCCCUUGGAAGGCAACACAAUUGAUUCAGGCUCUUCAAGAAGUCUUCCCUGAAUGAAUUCUCCAACCCAAAGUGAGCAGGCCUUUGUCUGCACCCAGCCUUCUGCUCUAAUCUGGAUCCCACCAUCCGGCCCAGAGUGAAUGACGACGUUGAUUUCUCCCGUAAUUGUGUGUUGUGUGUUCAACACUCAUCCACACAUUUGCCCUCUCUUAACUGAGCAUCUGCAGUGCCAGGCCCUGUUCUAGGCAUGAGGAUACAAUACUGAAUGAGGCAGACAAAAGUCCCUAGCCUCACAGAACUGAUGUUUUAGUGUGGGAGACAAGUAAUAGGUAAAUAACCAAACAUACAGCAUCAGGCCAGGUAGUUACAAAUGCUAUGGGGGGAGAAACAGGGUAGGAAGGAUAGAAUAAAAUAAUGGGGAUAGUAUUAAUAUUUUGGACAGAGUGAUCCUGGAGGGCUUCCCUGAGGAGGUGACAGAUGGGCAGAGACUUGAGAAGAGCAUUCCCGGCAGAGGACACAGCAGGAGCAAACGUGUAGGGGUUGGAUGGUGGAAGAAGCCUGGGAUAUCUGAGAAGCUCCAGGAGGGAUUUGGAGGCUGAAGCGGCAAGGAAGGGAGCGGGGGAAGGUUCUUUGCAACCAUGAAACUCCUGAGCAAGGUAAUGGGACAGAGAAAUUAACUAAAGCCAAGCCCCACAAUGAACCGAUUCUGCUAUGGCUGCUGCAGGGUGAGCUCUCGUCUCUCCUUCCCAGCUGUUCCCCUCUUGGCAACAGCACACCGUCCCCCCUUGCCCCAGAAGUCACCCAUUCACCUUACGUUUGGACAUCAUUCCUGGCAUUAAGACUUCUCUCCUGGGGAGGGGUCUUCUACCGAGGUAAGCGGUUGGCAUCAGCAUCCCUCACCUAUCGACAAAAUGGAUGCGGGUGAUGGCCACCCACUGUGUGCUCUCAGAUGAACCUGAAUCGCCCCCCAGAUGGCUUCUGGGAGAGGGUAUUAACUGCAAACGUUUGCAGAGCCAUGUGCUGAAAUGUGGCAAAGUGUGUGCUUUUAAAGGAGAAGGCUCGCAGAGGAAAUGUGGAUCGUUGCCCCAUCCUGCAGUUUUGUGAAUUUGGAACGUGUUCACUAGGGUCUCUGGAAGUUCACGGUAGCCAGCAUGUCCACAAAUAAGGCCAAGCAGCCAGUUACAAUGUCCCCACCCUGCACUGUGGCUGAGAGGCCAAGCCCUGCAGCCGCACAGACCUGGGUGUGAGAACAGCUACGCUGACCGUGUAUGAGCUGCAUGACACUGGGCCGCUCAAACGCUCUGUGUUUCACUUUCCUCAUCUGUAAGUGCACAUUACAACUGGAACGACCUGAUGCACUCCUACAGAAGAAAUUAAAAUUACGUAUGGAAUGCAGGCACAUCUUGAAUGCAAUAAAUGUUCACUUUUAUUGAGGUCAGGAGGAGCAUUGACCACCAGAGGAGGAACCCAAGUGGCUGUGUGGAAAUGCUCCCAGCUGUCACACCCAGGAACCUGAGCUCUGAUGGAUACCACCUUUGCCCUCCUCUUCCAAGCCCCACAGUCCACUGGGUUGCUCUUCGUGCUCACAGACUCUGCACAUGCAUGCUGUCACCAAGUGUUUUUUUAUUUUAUUUUAUUUAUUUUUUGUUUUUUUAUUUUAUUUUAUUAUUAUUAUACUUUAAGUUUUAGGGUACAUGUGCACAAUGUGCAGGUUUGCUACAUACGUAUACAUGUGCCAUGUUGGUGUGCCGCACCCAUUAACUCGUCAUUUAGUAUUAGGUAUGUCUCCUAAUGCUAUCCCUCCCCGCUCCCCCCACCCCACAACAGUCCCUGGUGUGGGAUGUUCCCCUUCCUGUGUCCAUGUGUUCUCAUUGUUCAAUUCCCACCUAUGAGUGAGAACAUGCAGUGUUUGGUUUUUUGUCCUUGCGAUAGUUUGCUGAGAAUGAUGGUUUCCAGUUUCAUCCAUGUCCCUACAAACCAAGUGUUUACUUGGUGUUUACUGAGCACCCUCUGGGGGCUAGACACUAGGCCUCAGUAGGUGGGUGGCUUAGUAAACACUAGUGCAUGUGUUUACUGAACACCUCUGGGGACUCGACACUAUGUCAAGUGCAGCAGAGUCUAGGAGUUAAUAGCAGAGUCUGGAGAAAUCCAGCCUAGAUUUGAAUGCUAGCUCAUAACUCACUAGCUAUGGUACCUUAGGAAGAUACUGAGCCUCUCUGUGUCUCUGUUCCCUCUUUUUUCAAAUGGGGAUAGUACUUACCUCUUGGGGUGGUUUUGAGGAUUAAAUGAAUUGCUCUAUAUACAGGAGAUGGGCCAGUGCUCAGGACAUGGUGAAUCCCAUCCAAUUAUUAGUAAUUAACAUCUACUUUAAAAGUAUGCUUGACCUUCUUGAGGACUACAUGUUAAGGCAUUGAGGAUAACUUAAUUCCUUCAGAAUUGAAACAGCACUAGUUAAUAUGGAUUGAGCCCUUUUUCUAUGCCCACGUGCUUUAUAUCAGGGUUAAUACACUUUUUCUUAAAGGGCCAGGUAGUAAAGAAUCAAGGCUUUCCAGGCCAGAGGCAAAAAUGAGGCUAUUAUGUAGGUACUUAUAUAACCAUUUAAAAUGUAACCAUUUCAAAAUGAGAAGGAAGAAAACAUUCUUAGCUCAUGGGCUUUAAGAAAAACUAGUAGCUGGAUAGAUUUGGUCUGCAAGCUGGAGUCUACCUAUCUCUGCUUUAUAUCAUUCAAUCCUUACAAAAACACAAGUAGCAUUAUUAUCUCCACUUUAAGACCCGGAAGCUUUGUCUCAGAGAGGUUGAGUGACUUAUAUUGUCGUCAGUCUCUCCCUUCUGUUCCGUUAAUAUCUGCUUUAUAUAUUUAGGUGCCUUGAUGUUGGUUCUGGCAGAUGUCCACUCCUUAAUGGAUUUUUCUUGGAUGCCUGAAUGAUAGAAUUGGGACAUGAGGCAUCUAGGUGUCUGACUUCCUAAACAGCAUUUCGAUGAGAAAGAAGAGUUCCAUGAUUUGGGGGCUUGAUACAUAGAGAUAUAGAGUAGGAUAUAGAGUAGGAGUUCUCUUGAGAAUAAGGGGGAGCUCUUCAGACUACAAGACAAGCAAGGCUCCUCCAUGGCCCCUGCUGAGCUCCCUGUGAGGCCAAGAUAAUAAUUCAAUGACCAUAAUGAAUGAGCUAACUGUUGAGUGCUUUAAAAUAGCUCGAAAACACAGCCGUUUCACAUAGCCACUUCCUGCUUUAUAUCCCCUAUUCCAUUAGCUUGUGUUCCAGAAGAGGCCUGUGACAGAGCAGGAGCAUUACCAUCUUGGACAAGUCCCUCAUUCUAAAGAUCACCUUAAUAAAAAAAAUCGCCUAAAUCCAAAGGGCAUCAGCCUGAUGGCUAAGGUCAGCAUGACCGUAAACCACAAAUAACAUCUCCAACCAGAAACAUUCCAAACUCUUCCCCGACCAGAGACAUGCUAGCCCCAAGAUAAGCCCCCUCCAACUGGGAAGAUCCCAGCCUUGAGAUAUCCCCCUCUGGCUGGAAAGAUAUCUGCCCCAAGAUAACCUCUCCUCCUCCCAGAGACAUUCCAACCCCACCAUAAAACUUCUCUCACACAAAAACAUUCCAAGCUUGUAAUAAGCCCCUCACCCUAAAACCAAUAUAUACUCUUAGCCUGUAAGAGAAAGUGCUCCUGACUGAAAUCGGCCAGAAGCCCCUCUCAGGUUUUAUCUAAAGUAAACCUGUCUUUAACUGCCAAGCUAUGUUUCAUGUUUCUUUCCUCUUUAACUCUUACAGCCUGUAGCAUCACUUCUGUCCUAGAGGGAUCUUCUCAUCUUAAUUGGCUGGCAAGCCACACACAACUGACCUCACAAGGGGCCCGGAGAGCCACACAGAAUAAGCACUUGUGUGAUGCCCAUUGGCUCACCUGACACACACAGCCUUAAGGCCUUUGCACUUGUGGUUUGCUUUAUGUAGAGUAGAAGUCAGCAGACUUUUCCUACAAAGGACCAGAGAGCAUAUACUUUAGGCUUUGUUGGCCUUAUGGUCUGUUGAAACUACUUAAUUCUGCUCUCGUAAUAGGAAAGCAGCCAUAGAUAAGAUAAUGCAUAAUGGCAGGGUGUGGUGGUUCACGCCUGUAAUCCAAGCACUUUGGGAGGCCAAGAUGGGCAGAUCACCUGAGGUCAGGAGUUUGAGACCAACCUGGACAACAUGGUGAAACCCCAUCUCUACUAAAAAUACAAAAAUUAGCCAGGUGUGGUGGCUGGCGCCUGUAAUCCCAGCUACUCUGGAGGCUGAGGCAGGAGAAUCACUUGUACCUGGGAGGCAGAGGUUGCAGUGAGAAGAGAUUGCGCCACUGCACUUCAGCCUAGGCAGUAAAGCAAGACUCUGUCACCCCUCAAAAAAAAAAAAAAAAAAAAAAAAAAGAUAAUGAUGCAUAAUGAAAGUGCAUGACUGUGGUUGUGUUCCAAUAAAACUUUAUUUAUAAAAACAGGUGGUAGGGCAGAUUUGGCCUGUGGCCCUUAGUUUGUCAACUCAUGACCUAGAAUAUUCUCCCCCCAGGAAGCUGAAAGGCUCCCUCUUUCACUGCUUCCAGCCAUCUGUGUAGCUACCACCCUAUCUCAACAGCCACACCCCUGCCACCCUGUUCCUCAACCUUCCUUUACUUCCCCACAAAGUCCUUACUAUUAUGUGAAAUUACAUUAUAUAUUAAUUUAUCGGUUUAUCAUCUGGUACCCUCCUUUGGGAAUGUAAAAUCAAUGAGAGGUACCCAGAGCUUGUAGAAACGUUUGGUAUAUAGUAGACACACAAUAAAUAUUUGUGGAAUGAAUAAAUCUCAAAGAACAAUAACCAUAAAUACAAAUAAUAGCAAAUACUUUCUGCACAUGUAUUAAUAUAUUCCUGGCACUCUGAUACACAUAUGCAAAAUACUGAAUUCUUUCAAUAGCCCUAUAAUGCAGGAUCUUUUAUUAAGCCCGUUUUACAGAAGAAGCUGGGGCUUGGAGAGGUAAAUUACUUGCCCAAAUGGUGAUGUUUGCCAUCACAGGAAAACAUCACAGAACAUUAGAGCUGGCUAGGACCUUCAAGAUCAAUCUUAUUCCAACCCUGGCAUUAUACAAAUGCAGAAACUGCAAUUUGGCAAGAGGAAGCCACAUGCCAAAGGUCACAUAGCAAGAAAGGGACAAGGUAGAAUAAAGACCAGUGUCCUUGCCUUCCUGGCUGUAGGAUGCACAACCUCCAGCGCACUCUGAGUAGUGUCAGUUCCCUGCGUGAUCUGUCACUGGGGGGACUGUGACCUGCUUGUGGCCUGUGAGCAGUGGAACCAGAGCUUUCUCUCUCGUCCCAUCGGUUACUUCAGGGACGAACUGCAUGCCAGGCUUCCUCCCUGACUCAUCCAAUGCAGGUGAAGCCAGGUUAUCUCAGCACCUGCAUCCCCCAAGAGGCUGCAGAUGCAAAGCCUCUAUAAAGAAGGCAAUAAAGACUGCCAGGCAGCCAUCCUAGGAAUACUAACCAAGAUCUCUCUCCGCCCUGGUGCUGGGCGCUAUCCCCACACAUAACAGUUUGCUCUAGGGGAGGGAGAGGCUGUCUGUGUUUUAUAAGUGCUCUUAGUCACGUGUUUUUUUGUUUUUUUUUUUUUUUAUGGAAAAAAAAUCACUAGAACCAGUUUCCUCUUUCCUAAAUUAAUCCCAGUGUUUCUGUUUUCAAAGAGCAUUUAAGGACCAAAGGCCAGAGCCCUCAAAACCGGCACACACCUCCAGCUUGUGCGGGGCUGGGCAUAGUUCCAGAGGGCCUGGCUGUGCCCACGACAGAGGUUUCCUGUCCAGACAGAAGGGGACAUAUUAGUCGGCUAGGGAUGUCACAACAAAGUACCACAGAAUAUGUGGCUUAAACAAAAAGAACUUAUUAUCUUACAGUUCUAGAAGCUAGAAGUUCAAGAGCAAGGAGUCGGCAGGGCUGCUUUUUUCUUUUUUAAUUGUUAUUUAUUUAUUUAUUUAUUUAUUUGAGAUGGAGUCUCUCUCUGUCACCCAGGCUGGAGGACAGUGAUGCAAUCUCUGCUCACUGCAACCUCCGCCUCCCGGUUCAAGCAAUUCUCCUGCCACAGCCUCCCAAGUAGGCGGGAUUACAAGUGUGCGCCACCGUGCCUGGCUAAUUUAUUUAUUAUUAUUUUUUUUUUCAGUAGAGAUGGGGUUUUACCAUGUUGGCCAGGCUGGUCUUGAACUCCUGACCUCAGGUGAUCCACCCCCCGCGCCCCCCGGCCUCCCAAAGUGCUGAGAUUACAGGUGUGAGCCACCGCACCCUCCCAGGGUUGCUUUUCUGAGGCCUCUCUUCUUGGCUUGCAGGUGGCCACC